rnacentral:rRNA from 1 species
AGUGAACGCUGGCGGUAGGCCUAACACAUGCAAGUCGAACGGCAGCACAGUAAGAGCUUGCUCUUACGGGUGGCGAGUGGCGGACGGGUGAGGAAUACAUCGGAAUCUACUUUUUCGUGGGGGAUAACGUAGGGAAACUUACGCUAAUACCGCAUACGACCUACGGGUGAAAGCAGGGGAUCUUCGGACCUUGCGCGAUUGAAUGAGCCGAUGUCGGAUUAGCUAGUUGGCGGGGUAAAGGCCCACCAAGGCGACGAUCCGUAGCUGGUCUGAGAGGAUGAUCAGGCAAACUGGAACUGAGACACGGGCCCAACUCCUACGGGAGGGAGCAGUGGGGAAUAUUUGACAAUGGGGGGAAGCCUGAUCCAGCCAAACCGCGGGGGUGAAGAAGGCCUUCGGGUUUGAAAAGCCUUUUUGUGGGGAAGAAAAGCAGGAGGUUAAUACCCCGGUGUUCUGGCGGGAACCAAAAAAUAAGCACCGGCUUACUUCGUG